GAAAGAAAAACACAUAAGCUAAAGAUCAGCAACCCUUCACUCAGACGCUCAGAGUAAAAUGACAUUGCUUUUUGAACCCGUGAUCGUGAACACGAAGAACACCUUCUUCUUCGCACUUAGCAUAGUCGCAUAGUUCUGAAAUUCGACGCUCGGAGAAGUUGAAGCCAGAAUUCUGAGAAGCAAUUGUAAUCAUGAAGAUGUCUCAAAAUAAAUUGAAGCGAAACUUUAUUUAUUUGAUUCUGUAUGACAUAUCUACUGCAUUAUACGCUUCUAAAAGGGAAGAUUUUUGGUUUGUACAUGUAAGCUUGAAGAACUGGCUGUGGAAUUAGAACCCUUCAUCGUGAUUUUCUAAAAGGGGAGAUUCUAAGGAGUGAAGACUCUGAGGUUGAAAUGAGUGAUGAACUCUGCGAGAGUGAAUUAAGUGAAUGAGAUUUUGAUGCAAAAUUGUGUUUAGUGUGAUAUAAUCAUACAAGCAUCAGGAUAAUUCGCUCUAAAGAAAAAUUGUUUCCUCCCCAGGUUAGUAACUCUGUUCCUAACUAGCUUCAUGGCACGGUUUGUUAGAUUUGUCUUGCGCUUAACAGUGGAACAUUCAUCUAGUUUGUUAUAUAUACUUUCUUUUUAACUAUUAUUAUAGGGUAUAGUGGAUUCAUGGAUUGCUAAUUAUUAUAACCAUACAAAAUUGAGUUCUGAACUCAUGGUUUCUAGAGGACCUGUUUCUUGUAUAUAUGAACUUAAAGUGAAGUUGUGGAGUGGAAAUUCCAUUUUGCUUUUGAACAA